rnacentral:rRNA from 1 species
GACAGAGGGUGCAAACGUUGUUCGGAUUUACUGGGCGUAAAGCGUGUGCAGGCGGCUUCGUAAGUUGGAUGUGAAAUCCCACGGCUCAACCGUGGACGUGCAUCCAAAACUGCGUCGCUGGAGUCUCGGAGAGGAAGGUGGAAUGCUUGGUGUAGAGGUGAAAUUCGUAGAUAUCAAGCAGAACACCUGCGGCGAAGGCGGCCUUCUGGACGAUGACUGACGCUGAGACACGAAAGCGUGGGGAGCAAACAGG